UACAGAGGGGGCAAGCGUUGUUCGGAAUUACUGGGCGUAAAGGGCGCGUAGGCGGCCCGCUAAGUCGAACGUGAAAUCCCCGGGCUCAACUCGGGAACUGCGUCCGAUACUGGCGGGCUUGAAUCCGGGAGAGGGAUGCGGAAUUCCAGGUGUAGCGGUGAAAUGCGUAGAUAUCUGGAGGAACACCGGUGGCGAAGGCGGCAUCCUGGACCGGUAUUGACGCUGAGGCGCGAAAGCCAGGGGAGCAAACGGG
rnacentral:rRNA from 1 species